UUAAAAAAAAUAUUAAUGACUAAUCACCACUUCACCUAUCAAAAUCCUGAUUAUCUCUUCCAACACAAACGAAAGCUGUAUUGGAGCUGGAGACAAGAAAGUGAAGUUGAUAUGUCUAUCAAAAUAUUGACAAUUCGAUAAGUUUCUUAACCUUCCUCUUGUUUCAACAUCUAUUAUGUGAUUAUCUCCGCGUAUAUAUGAAUAUUGUUAUUUGUUGAUAGGGCUGAUUUGCAUUUGAUUAAUAUAAUUUAGUUCAGAGUCUAUGAUCAUUGCUUUUUAGUGAUUAUAGGUUUGAUCUUUCGCACCAUAAUUAGACUCCAUCCGAAGCAAAAUUACAUAUACUACUAAUUAUAUAAUAUAUAUAUAGAAGUAAAACUAUAAGAAUCAAAAAGGUUAGGCGAGAUUACUUCUCUAUUUUGAAGAGAAAACGAAUGGUUAAGUUCAUCCUUUCAGAGAUCCCAUGGCUGCUUGUUUGCUUUGUGUGUGUUUUUGUUUUUUUCAGGGAUAUAUGAAAACUAAAGAAAGCUACCGACGAGACUAGGCUAAUGACUCCACGAUCUUGUACGAGAGAGACAGGAUAGCGGUGGUAGCCGAAGAGGAUGGUGGUGACGGCGGCAGUUUCGAGAUCAGAAUGAGAUCCGUGUGUCGGUUUCAGAAAAGAUGCAUUAAUUGUGCCUUAAUUGCGGCGUUAAUGUUUUGUUAAUUGUGCUUUAAUUGAAGGUUUAAUUGUCUCUUUUAUGAGUUAUGUUUGUGGAAUAUUUUGACCACAAUUAAGUGUCAUUUAUUGACUUGUUUUUAUUUUUAAUUAAUUACUAUUUAAUGUUGGUGCAUUUGAAUUGUUUCCAUAUUAUUUUAUCUUUAGUGUUCGCUAACUAUUUUUAUUUAAUGUUUAUAAUAUCUUGCAGGUUCAAUGUUAAAUAUUGCACUCUGCGGAAUUUUAGAGGUAGCAGAUGGAAAAGGACAUAAGUGUACAAAUCAUUAUAGCAUCGGAGGAUACGAGUUUUAUCUUGUAAUUUCUUUGUAAAGGAUGUAUAUUUGCUUUGUAGGGUACUUUUUUUCCCCCCUUGAGUUUUUUUUUCCAUAGGGUUUUUACUCUUGCGGGGUUUUAACGAAGCCCAAUUGGUGGAUUUUCUUUUCGGACAUUAAAGACCAUAUCGUCUAAGCGUCCGAGAGUACUAGCUUACUCUUCGGUUAGAUGGUAUACUUUUGUGGAUGAAAGAAACUCUGUUCCGUCGGACAUUAUAUCUUUGAUAUUUAGUAUCAAUGAAAAUUUAUUUUCCUUUAAAAAAAAAAAA
rnacentral:lncRNA from 1 species